rnacentral:rRNA from 1 species
AACGAACGCUGGCGGCAUGCCUAACACAUGCAAGUCGAACGAGACCUUCGGGUCUAGUGGCGCACGGGUGCGUAACGCGUGGGAACCUGCCCUUAGGUUCGGAAUAACUCCCCGAAAGGGGUGCUAAUACCGGAUAAUGUCUUCGGACCAAAGAUUUAUCGCCUUUGGAUGGGCCCGCGUUGGAUUAGCUAGUUGGUAGGGUAAAAGCCUACCAAGGCGACGAUCCAUAGCUGGUCUGAGAGGAUGAUCAGCCACACUGGGACUGAGACACGGCCCAGACUACUACGGGAGGCAGCAGUGGGGAAUAUUGGAAAAUGGGCGAAAGCCUGAUCCAGCAAUGCCGCGUGAGUGAUGAAGGCCUUAGGGUUGUAAAGCUCUUUUACACGGGAUGAUAAUGACAGUACCGGGAGAAUAAGCUCCGGCUAACUCCGUG